AGUUGAUUAAGACACAAACGGUCAAGGGCUACAGGAAAAUGUGUAAGACCAUUGUUGCCACAUUAGUGGGUUUUUUUUUUUCUGUAUCUGGGGUAAUGGAGGAGAUAAAGGGAGAAUCCCUACCCAGCAGGUCUGUUGAUUCUUGACAUUCAUGUGUUUCUUUCACAUAUGAUCAGAAUGUGAUCCAUCUCUCACAUUGUCAGCACAGACGCUAGAAGUGCUCUGUGAUGCGGAGUGCUUGGGGACCAUAUCAUCAACCAUUCAAAAGGGACCUGUGGAAGAAUUAAGACUGUGCCUACCUACUUGUGCACAUCACCAGUUGGGAAAGGCACCAAAAAGGAGAUCCACCAAUAAGCCAGUCUCGAAAGAAAUCUGUCCUAAGCGAAGCGUCGGCAGUUGCAGAAGCCCAAAGGGAAACAAGUGGAGAUUGUCAUUGCUUAGGGACAUGCAUGCAGACUGUCAGAGGCGUACACAAAGGCAGCAUUGCCAGUACUACUCUCAUAUAUUGAAAUGGGAUAAUUGCAUGAGAAGAUCAUUGGUCUCUUUCAGCACUUUUCUAUUCAUGCUUUACAUGUAAGUAAUCAGCCUUGAGAGAUUUUGCUGAAGAAUUAUGUAAGUAGUGUAUCUAUUGUAGAAUUAUAA